CGGGCCUCCAUUUUGGGUGUGUAUGUUAUAGGUGUAGAUGCUGUAUGUACAAUAGGAAUAGAAACCGAUUUCCGGCUGGCUGGAGCAUAUAGAUAAAGAUGGCGAAAUCACCAUGAUCCGCAGUCAGAUCGCAGGGUCUUCUAAACUCCUGACCACGCUCAUGUAUCCACUUGUUGGACACUAAAAGAGAACAUAACUCAGUUGCAGUUUUUAUAAAUUUGUAUAGAUGAUAAACUCACCCCAUUUGGAGCCUGUUAGCACUGGACAUGCAGCAUGUCGCGUUCUCACAUCUCCCUCGCCCGAACGAUGCAGAUUCAUCCAAUAUGCUGCCGUGCCCUGUAAAUAAAAUACGAUACAUAGACUAACAUCGA